rnacentral:rRNA from 1 species
UUAAGCGACUAAGCGUACACGGUGGAUGCCCUGGCAGUCAGAGGCGAUGAAGGACGUGCUAAUCUGCGAAAAGCGUCGGUAAGGUGAUAUGAACCGUUAUAGCCGGCGAUGUCCGAAUGGGGAAACCCAGUGCAAUUCGUUGCACUAUCGUUAACUGAAUACAUAGGUUAACGAGGCGAACCGGGGGAACUGAAACAUCUAAGUACCCCGAGGAAAAGAAAUCAACCGAGAUUCCCCCAGUAGCGGCGAGCGAACGGGGAGCAGCCCGGAGUCUGAAUCAGCUUGUGUGUUAGUGGAAGCGUCUGGAAAGUCGCAGGGUACAGGGUGAUACUCCCGUACACUAAAACACACAGGCUGUGAACUCGAAGAGUAGGGCGGGACACGUGGUAUCCUGUCUGAAUAUGGGGGGACCAUCCUCCAAGGCUAAAUACUCCUGACUGACCGAUAGUGAACCAGUACCGUGAGGGAAAGGCGAAAAGAACCCCGGCGAGGGGAGUGAAAAAGAACCUGAAACCGUGUACGUACAAGCAGUGGGAGCACCUUCGGGUGUGACUGCGUACCUUUUGUAUAAUGGGUCAGCGACUUAUAUUCUGUAGCAAGGUUAACCGUAUAGGGGAGCCGCAGGGAAACCGAGUCUUAACUGGGCGUUAAGUUGCAGGGUAUAGACCCGAAACCCGGUGAUCUAGCCAUGGGCAGGUUGAAGGUUGGGUAACACUAACUGGAGGACCGAACCGACUAAUGUUGAAAAAUUAGCGGAUGACUUGUGGCUGGGGGUGAAAGGCCAAUCAAACCGGGAGAUAGCUGGUUCUCCCCGAAAGCUAUUUAGGUAGCGCCUCGUGAACUCAUCUUCGGGGGUAGAGCACUGUUUCGGCUAGGGGGUCAUCCCGACUUACCAACCCGAUGCAAACUACGAAUACCGAAGAAUGUUAUCACGGGAGACACACGGCGGGUGCUAACGUCCGUCGUGAAGAGGGAAACAACCCAGACCGCCAGCUAAGGUCCCAAAGUCAUGGUUAAGUGGGAAACGAUGUGGGAAGGCCCAGACAGCCAGGAUGUUGGCUUAGAAGCAGCCAUCAUUUAAAGAAAGCGUAAUAGCUCACUGGUCGAGUCGGCCUGCGCGGAAGAUGUAACGGGGCUAAACCAUGCACCGAAGCUGCGGCAGCGACACUAUGUGUUGUUGGGUAGGGGAGCGUUCUGUAAGCCGUUGAAGGUGGCCUGUGAGGGUUGCUGGAGGUAUCAGAAGUGCGAAUGCUGACAUAAGUAACGAUAAUGCGGGUGAAAAACCCGCACGCCGGAAGACCAAGGGUUCCUGUCCAACGUUAAUCGGGGCAGGGUGAGUCGACCCCUAAGGCGAGGCCGAAAGGCGUAGUCGAUGGGAAACAGGUUAAUAUUCCUGUACUUGGUGUUACUGCGAAGGGGGGACGGAGAAGGCUAUGUUAGCCGGGCGACGGUUGUCCCGGUUUAAGCAUGUAGGCUGAUUGUCCAGGCAAAUCCGGAUAAUCAAGGCUGAGGUGUGAUGACGAGGCACUACGGUGCUGAAGUAACAAAUGCCCUGCUUCCAGGAAAAGCCUCUAAGCAUCAGGUAACAUCAAAUCGUACCCCAAACCGACACAGGUGGUCAGGUAGAGAAUACCAAGGCGCUUGAGAGAACUCGGGUGAAGGAACUAGGCAAAAUGGUGCCGUAACUUCGGGAGAAGGCACGCUGGUGUGUAGGUGAAGUCCCUGCGGAUGGAGCUGAGACCAGUCGAAGAUACCAGCUGGCUGCAACUGUUUAUUAAAAACACAGCACUGUGCAAACACGAAAGUGGACGUAUACGGUGUGACGCCUGCCCGGUGCCGGAAGGUUAAUUGAUGGGGUUAUCCGUAAGGAGAAGCUCUUGAUCGAAGCCCCGGUAAACGGCGGCCGUAACUAUAACGGUCCUAAGGUAGCGAAAUUCCUUGUCGGGUAAGUUCCGACCUGCACGAAUGGCGUAAUGAUGGCCAGGCUGUCUCCACCCGAGACUCAGUGAAAUUGAACUCGCUGUGAAGAUGCAGUGUACCCGCGGCAAGACGGAAAGACCCCGUGAACCUUUACUAUAGCUUGACACUGAACAUUGAGCCUUGAUGUGUAGGAUAGGUGGGAGGCUUUGAAGCGUGGACGCCAGUCUGCGUGGAGCCAACCUUGAAAUACCACCCUUUAAUGUUUGAUGUUCUAACGUUGGCCCCUGACCGGGGUUGCGGACAGUGUCUGGUGGGUAGUUUGACUGGGGCGGUCUCCUCCCAAAGCGUAACGGAGGAGCACGAAGGUUAGCUAAUCCUGGUCGGACAUCAGGAGGUUAGUGCAAUGGCAUAAGCUAGCUUGACUGCGAGCGUGACGGCGCGAGCAGGUGCGAAAGCAGGUCAUAGUGAUCCGGUGGUUCUGAAUGGAAGGGCCAUCGCUCAACGGAUAAAAGGUACUCCGGGGAUAACAGGCUGAUACCGCCCAAGAGUUCAUAUCGACGGCGGUGUUUGGCACCUCGAUGUCGGCUCAUCACAUCCUGGGGCUGAAGUAGGUCCCAAGGGUAUGGCUGUUCGCCAUUUAAAGUGGUACGCGAGCUGGGUUUAGAACGUCGUGAGACAGUUCGGUCCCUAUCUGCCGUGGGCGCUGGAGAAUUGAGGGGGGCUGCUCCUAGUACGAGAGGACCGGAGUGGACGCAUCACUGGUGUUCGGGUUGUCAUGCCAAUGGCAUUGCCCGGUAGCUAAAUGCGGAAGAGAUAAGUGCUGAAAGCAUCUAAGCACGAAACUUGCCCCGAGAUGAGUUCUCCCUGAGACUUUAAGUCUCCUGAAGGAACGUUGAAGACGACGACGUUGAUAGGCCGGGUGUGUAAGCGCAGCGAUGCGUUGAGCUAACCGGUACUAAUGAACCGUGAGGCUUAACCUU